ACGCUGGCGGCGUGCCUAACACAUGCAAGUCGAACGCGAAAGUCCCGCAAGGGAUGAGUAGAGUGGCAAACGGGUGAGUAACACGUGGGUGACCUGCCUUCGAGCGGGGGAUAACGUCCCGAAAGGGACGCUAAUACCGCAUGACAUCCUGCCUUUGAAGAGGUGGAGAUCAAAGCUGGGGAUCGCAAGACCUAGCACUUGAAGAGGGGCCCGCGUCUGAUUAGCUAGUUGGUGGGGUAACGGCUCACCAAGGCAACGAUCAGUAUCCGGCCUGAGAGGGCGGACGGACACACUGGGACUGAGACACGGCCCAGACUCCUACGGGAGGCAGCAGUGGGGAAUUGUUCGCAAUGGGCGCAAGCCUGACGACGCAACGCCGCGUGGAGGAUGAAGACCUUCGGGUCGUAAACUCCUUUCGAUCGAGACGAAUGGCCUCCGGGUGAACAAUCCGGAAGAAUGACGGUACCGAGAGAAGAAGCCCCGGCUAACUCCGUGCCAGCAGCCGCGGUAAUACGGGGGGGGCAAGCGUUGUUCGGAAUUACUGGGCGUAAAGGGCUCGUAGGCGGCCAACUAAGUCAGACGUGAAAUCCCUCGGCUUAACCGGGGAACUGCAUCUGAUACUGGAUGGCUUGCGAUUGGGAGAGGGA
rnacentral:rRNA from 1 species